rnacentral:rRNA from 1 species
AGUGAACGCUGGCGGUAGGCCUAACACAUGCAAGUAGAACGGCAGCACAGUAAGAGCUUGCUCUUACGGGUGGCGAGUGGCGGACGGGUGAGGAAUACAUCGGAAUCUACUUUUUCGUGGGGGAUACGUAGGGAAACUUACGCUAAUACCGCAUACGACCUACGGGUGAAAGCAGGGGAUCUUCGGACCUUGCGCGAUUGAAUGAGCCGAUGUCGGAUUAGCUAGUUGGCGGGGUAAAGGCCCACCAAGGCGACGAUCCGUAGCUGGUCUGAGAGGAUGAUCAGCCACACUGGAACUGAGACACGGUCCAGACUCCUACGGGAGGCAGCAGUGGGGAAUAUUGGACAAUGGGCGCAAGCCUGAUCCAGCCAUACCGCGUGGGUGAAGAAGGCCUUCGGGUUGUAAAGCCCUUUUGUUGGGAAAGAAAAGCAGCAGGUUAAUACCCCGCUGUUCUGACGGUACCCAAAGAAUAAGCACCGGCUAACUUCGUG